rnacentral:lncRNA from 1 species
UUCGCCGUUUUGUGUGGAUGGAGCAUCUAUUUGCAGGGUUGCUCCUUUAAAUUCCUUGCCUCCUGGUGGCUUGUCAUCGUCAAGGUGCUCAUCAACAAAAUUACUCUGUGGAUUUAUGCCGUCUGCCAUUUCGAAAUUGUAUGUGCAAGAUUUGCGAUGCCAAAUUUAUUUGUAUCCUUGACGUCAGAGUCACACUUCCGCCGGAAGAUUGUUUA